rnacentral:piRNA from 1 species
UGAUGCGACUCUCCUCUGUCAUAAGUGACAGU